UUCAAAGCAUAAAAUCCAAACCGAGGGGUAGCUAUCAUCAGAUUACUGAUAAGAAAUCAGGUAUUACGCUGGUUCGCUAUAAUGACAACAACGUAGUUACUUUGGCCUCCUCUGCCGAAGGAGUACUACCUCUGGGAUCGGCUCAACGAUGGUCAAGCAGUCAAAAGAAAAAGAUAGGUAUUCCACAACCAUUAUGUAUCCAGCAGUACAAUAGAUAUAUGGGCGGUACUGACCGACUAGAUCAGAAUGUGGGAUGUUAUCGAAUCAGUAUCAAUCGUAAAAAGUGGUACUGGCAGUUGAUGAUGUGGCCUUUGAACGUAUCCGUGAACAAUGCGUUUCAACUUUAUAAACUGUCUCCAGAUGGUCAAGAAAAUCGUUCAUUAGACUAUCUUGCAUUUAUUAGAGUAAUAACUACUACAUAUCUUGGAAAAUACUCCCUUCCACGUACAAUGGGUCGCCCCUUGAAGCCUCGUUGCAAAAGACGUAGAGUUCCAGACGGGGUUCGCCUUGAUGGUCAAGGCCACAUAAUAAUUUCAAAUGCAACUCAAAUAAGAUGUGCAAUGUGCCAUAAAAACACAACUAAAAAGUGUCGAAAAUGUGAUGUUGGAUGUCACACAAACUGUUUUGAGGCUUUCCAUUCAUAAUUUUAUUUAUAUUUAUUUUAAUUCAAUCAAUUAAAAAGUGGUAUCUGAAUUAAAUUUAUAAUUUUCUUUAAUAAAACUGAAAUCACAUCUUAUAUUAACUGAACUACAUAGUAUAUUUUUAGUGCUCCCUGGUGUGGCCAGCGCCCCAUUUUUGGGGCGGCUAUUUUCUCAAAAACUACGAGAGAUAUGAAUAAAAGGCCUUAAGCGCUUGAUUACUGGUGUCUCAUAGCUAACCGCAAUUGCUUUCUUUCCUUCAAAAUUUUUCUAGAAAAAAGUUGGGAUUAUAUGGGUUAA